AGCGGCUCCUAUCGAAGCCGUUCGUGCUCUCCAGUAGCACUGAUCGGUCAACUGUGAGCCAAGAGGAAAACUUUACCGACGGUCGCUGUUCAGUUUGAAGUAACUGUUUAAAGCAACAUAAUGGGAAAGGACAGCU